AGAGGGUGAAGUCGUGGGGGUGAUUCGCACCUCCCACGCGCUUUCCACCCAUGCACGGCCGAGAGGUAGGUGGAGUAGGCACAAAUUCCGACAGCGUCCGCGACCACCAGAAGGCAGGGGGACAGCGCGCCGGCUGCUGAAGGAUGCACGCCCGCCGAUGGGAUGUGGACGAAGCACCCUUCUGACAAACCGAGCACGGCAAACAAGCGAAGGCAGCACCAAAAAGACAUACUAGAAAGCAUGAGCACAGAAAGGUUGAAACUGUUAAUGCUAUGUUAAUGCUAUGAAGAGGAAAGAAGUGGGAAGGGUAGGCGAUGUAAAACUUUAAAGGGGAAAGUCCGAAUGGAAGAAGGUGAUCAACUGAAAAGGCGACCAGAUAAGUUAACAAUGAACUAAGGAACACACACAACCCAUGUGACUGCCAGUUGAAUAAUGCCACUCUUUUUUUCUUUGCGGCGAACUGAAUUUUUAUUUUUUUCACAGGAUGUCAUGGAGAAAGGAUCCGCUAGCAAACUCAUCACCAUCAACCAAGGGUUGAACAAUGAUCACAAAAAAGCUAUCGAGAUGUUGGUUUCGAAGGCCUGUUGAAAAUUCAAUAGCUGAACCUCGCCGAUGGAAUGUACGAGCUGCACCCGGUGCCUGAAGACGAAGUUGUAGCUGAGCUGCCUGUAGGAGCUGAAGCCGAGCACCCCGAAGAUCAAUUUGCU